UGCCCAAGCGCGUCUAUUCCGCAAAUUUGUACAAGAAAUCGCAUUCAAAUAACGAGGAAAUUACCAUAAUCGAAUUGUGUAAUGUUUUAAUUAGGACCGGCGAUGAUGGAAAACCUUUGCUAACUCUCCGCACCUUGGCCCGGUUUGAUAAUUAUACCGAUUUGAUACGCAUCGACGAACAGACGAAAAUUAAAAAUAUGAGUAGGUACUUGCAAUUACAACAGGCUUUAAUUAGUUUUUAUUGCGACAGGAGGUAAUGCAUGAGCGCAGUGCAAUCGAUACCAAAUACGAUUAUUUUUUGCUACGGGACUGAAUACAGCGAAAGCUUCAUUUCGGCGAAAAUUCCACUAAAUUGCAACGGUGCGUUAUCCAUUACCAAAUGAAAGAGAUGCUCCACUGAGCGGGAGACGUCAAGUGAAUUUUUUCACAAACUCAAUUGCAAUUAAUCUCUCGCAUACAACAGAACGCCAUAUGUGCUCCUCCAGAGUACUUAACAUUUCAAUCACAAAAUUUACUUUCCCCAGAACUAUAUUACUGCGGUGCAACGUGCUUUCCCUAAAUUAAUUCCUGGCCCCUGAUCGUCUGUCGAUCAGAGAUAGCUAUUAUCGCAAAAUAAAUAAACAGCUCCUAUCAAAAUAUUUUUAAUCAAUUAACUCGAUUUUGACACUGCAAAUUGCAGCGAUAACAAGAGGGCAAGAUCCGAAUAUACACACAUUUGAAGAAGGCUGAGAUAAGGAUAUGAAUGAUAACACUUGGAGCAUCCCAGUUUAAUCCGAUUAGAGGAAGCUGUUAGUCCAGUCAUUAGGUUAAUUAAAAUGGCCGUAACGCGUUGUCAGGGAGGCCACCGGGGGGCGUGAUUAGCUGGUGAACCGUCCACAGCAACACUAAUCUAUACCAAAUUGUGUAUCGAUUUGCAGUUUGGCUGUGUUUAAGGCCAUAACUGCAUCCAAUAACAGAUUAAUGUUUUUCGAUGUCAUAGGCAGGUUAUUGUUGCACGAAAUAUGCACACAAAAUGCUUUAUUUUUUCAAUGGUGCGCCCUCCAACCGGCAAAAAUCUUAUUUUGUUUUCGAUGAGUUUUUGCAAUUUACGGUAACUUUUGCCUACCACGCAAUUUUCCGUGUUUUACUUGGAACCCUGAUAGGAUUACGGCGUCGAUUUUCUUUGAGGUCGUUCCGCUUCCUGAAUCAUCAGUGGGUUACCAAAAUGUAAACACAGCAAGGCCUCCCAAUGUUAUUCCGACCUUCGGGUGACGAUACCGGCCGUUAUCGCUUCCUGCCCGGAAACGCGUAAUUCUCGUACGUACGAUUACAAAUUUCCACGAGCGCAUUUUAAACACCUUGAAAUAAAAUUUCGUCGAUCAAAGCGGAUCUUGUUUUCGAUGUUGGAUGCAAUUUAAUUCGGACUUGACAGCGCGCGAUGAAAGUUUUUAAUGGAAGAGAGGCGAUCACUAUUUUCCGACCAAAACUAAUGAUUGUGAGCUCGAUCCAUCAAGAUCGAUCAAGUUUUUUGUGCGUUGAAGAAGUUUCAGUCCUGAAGGGAACACUAACGGUACCGAUAAGUCUAGGUAAUUGAAAAUUGCAGACGAAACCGUGGCAAUUAUCUCAUUGUACGUCUUCUCAUUUAUCACGAGAGUAUCGUAAUCGUCGGUGCAAUAAAACACGGAAUAUAAAAUAUCUAAUAACCACACUUAGGAGAGCAUCGUGCUGCAAGAACUGGUUUUCAGAAUAAAUCAAGGUGCCUCGAGAAACAACAGCACGACUAAACAACUAACAGAGAUAUGAGGUAGAUCGCAGCAGGUCAUGCGGUUCAUGGACUACUGGAUCGUCGUAAAAAACUACGUUUUUUAUCGUUCGCCUCCCGACCACAAAACUUUUCGUGAUUUACUAUUUACUUCUAGAUCACGGCAAAUAUUUACAAACUCCCGAACAGGCUCCGAUUUUUACAUCCUAGUCAAUAUUAUGCCAAGACGAGAGCUCAAAACCCGUUCCUUAUUGACAAGUUACAGCAAAACCUCCACAAGCCGAACCAAUUACUGCAGAGUUCUCCAUAUCAAUUUUUCGAUUUUCAAAUAAAUCUUAUUUCUAAUUAAGAAGAAUAAGUAAACGAUCCUUGAUGCACUUGUUUUUCGGGUUAGAAGAGGUUCCACUGUAGGAACCUGCACACCUAUGUCAAGUUCGGAGCUUUGGGCUAAUUAUACACGAGCGACUCGCAAUUAGAAGAUUUUUUAUGGCCGAACAUGAAUAAAUAACUACAGUCCGGGACAUUUCUAUUUGGACAUAAAAAAUUUGAAUUUUCUGACAUUUAUACGUAUAUUCAGCGUCUAUGUGAACAAAAAAUGUUCUCUCUCUCAUUCUAUGGUCCUUGAGCUUUAAUAACAGGGACAUUUUUUAAAUUGGUAGCAUUAGAAAAUGACAGUAAACAGCUGACUGAUGUAAACAAUAACACAAUAACAAAGGAAAUGUUAUAAUUUUAAUCUAUAUAACCAGUGGCUGCUUUAAAAGUGUGUACUAACGGGAUAAUAAAAUAUUUACGCAAGUAUUUUUGAAGGUAGAAACAUUACUUGUCAUAUAACAAUUAUAGAUUAUAUGAUGAGACGGGAAUGGCACAACACAGAAUUGCAGUCAGUGAUUGUGCUGGAGAAAGCUGCUGUGACGUACUGACAGUACUGACUAUCGCUGGUUGUACGAUUUGUGAUAUAUUUUGUGUGAAAAACUGGAAAACAAAGUGCAUACCUGCAUAACCUCACUUAUCGCAGUUUUGCACAUUUUGAUGAUGAGAAUUGCGGUUCAAGUAAUUAUGAGUUAUAGAUGGAGCUCACUGUUUACUUCAAACUGAAGCCUUUUGGGUCCACUUUUUUCGUUGUUAUUUUCUGGUAGCGACUCUUGUUUCAAGCAGAAUGGGUGUAAAGUUAAAAAUAAUCCCAUAAAAUUGUUAAUAUAACUCCGUUGCACUGGCAUGGGAUAUUUGAAAACUUACGUUUAACAAAUACGUCACAAAGUCUCAGCCAUCGUCGAAAAACAUAAUAAGGGCUUUAUAACAAGAAGCGCUUUCUGAUUUUACUGUGGACGUGUGGAAGAAUAGUGUGAAAUAUUGCGAAAAACCAACUUUUACUCUUGUUUACAGUUUUGUACGUCUCUAUCUGAGAGUAGUCGUCUUGUAUAAAAAAUAUAGCCUACUAAUAAAGGAAAUUAAAGUGUUUUUAUUUCUGGGUUGCCUCCAAUUCCACUUUGCCCUUGCCUGAUAAUCAAGACACUGAUAAUGAAAUUGGUGUAAGUGCAUCGAAUACAAACAUGUUGAAUAGAUGAAUAAAAGAGAGACAACUGCUUUUUUCAAAAAGGCCAUUUCAAAUUUAUUCAAAAAGCACACCCCCAUUGAAAAGGGUCCAUUUACGAUGAAGUUUGGCUUCCUGCAUGACAUAGGUUUCGGGCACCAAUCUCACUGUAAAUGGUCUAAAUUGGUCUUGCAUCUCUAAGACAUGGACUUAGUGAGGGCGUCUUCUGCAGUAGGCUUGAGACCUGCCUGCCUGUCUCGCAACAAUCUCUGCAUUAUGAUUCCAAAUCAUUUUAUAAAAUGCUGUCAAUUACAAGCCAUGAUAUGAGGCAUGAGGCCGUCUCAGUGUAUGUCUUGUGGUGUACAUUGAAACUGUUUCUUAAAGAACCCAUUCACAAUGAGAUCUGCUUCGCUACAUGCGGCGCGACAGGACUCAAAGACUAAUCCCAAAAGACACAAAAAAACUGACACAGUUUCAUAAUUUUAAGCCAUUGACAGCGUUUUCGAAUGUUGGUGCAAAGACUUGUCGCGAGGCAGGUUUCAGCCUUCCGCCAACGUCAGUCUCAGUGAAACCCUCUCAAAGUGAUCUCAGCGAAAACCAUUCACAAUGAGAUUGGUCUAUGAGGCCUAUGUCGUGCCGCAUGCAGCGAGAUAUGUCUCAUUGUUAAUGAAAAUAGGGCCUUUUUUGUUGUUUAAAGUCGUUUUUUAAAACUUUUGUGGCAAAUUUUACUGAUGUGGCAGAGAGGGGGCAUGCAAUUGGAACAUGACGAUGACUACCCUAAAAGUCACUUCGAGGCUUUUAUGGCCUUUUUAAUGCAAAUUUCAACUUUAAACCUGACAGUCAUACCAAGGUCAAACAUAACCUCAACAGUACUCCAGCAACGGUACUUCAAAGCAUUUGAAAGUUUCUCCAUUUGUUUUUAAGUGUUCUAGUUGGUACAUUUUGCUGUACUUUACUACAAUAAAGAAAUAUUUAAAUUUU